UACGUAGGGUGCAAGCGUUAAUCGGAAUUACUGGGCGUAAAGCGUGCGCAGGCGGUUUCGCAAGUCAGAUGUGAAAUCCCCGGGCUCAACCUGGGAACUGCAUUUGAAACUACGAGGCUCGAGUGUGUCAGAGGGGGGUGGAAUUCCACGUGUAGCAGUGAAAUGCGUAGAGAUGUGGAGGAACACCAAUGGCGAAGGCAGCCCCCUGGGAUAACACUGACGCUCAUGCACAA
rnacentral:rRNA from 1 species